UACGUGGGGAGCAAGCGUUGUCCGGAUUUAUUGGGCGUAAAGAGCUCGUAGGCGGCUUAGAAAGUCAGGUGUGAAACCUCCAGGCUCAACCUGGAGACGCCACUUGAUACUUCUAUGGCUUGAGUUCGGUAGGGGACUUCGGAAUUCCUGGUGUAGCGGUGAAAUGCGCAGAUAUCAGGAGGAACACCGAUGGCGAAGGCAGAAGUCUGGGCCGACACUGACGCUGAGGAGCGAAAGCGUGGGGAGCGAACAGG
rnacentral:rRNA from 1 species